rnacentral:rRNA from 1 species
GGUUAAUAUUCCCGUACUUGGUGUUACUGCGAAGGGGGGACGGAGAAGGCUAUGUUGGCCGGGCGACGGUUGUCCCGGUUUAAGCGUGUAGGUGUGUGUUCCAGGUAAAUCCGGUUCACUUUAACACUGAGGCGUGACGACGAGGCACUACGGUGCUGAAGCAACAAAUGCCCUGCUUCCAGGAAAAGCCUCUAAGCAUCAGGUAACAUCAAAUCGUACCCCAAACCGACACAGGUGGUCAGGUAGAGAAUACCAAGGCGCUUGAGAGAACUCGGGUGAAGGAACUAGGCAAAAUGGUGCCGUAACUUCGGGAGAAGGCACGCUGACACGUAGGUGAAGUGAUUUACUCAUGGAGCUGAAGUCAGUCGAAGAUACCAGCUGGCUGCAACUGUUUAUUAAAAACACAGCACUGUGCAAACACGAAAGUGGACGUAUACGGUGUGACGCCUGCCCGGUGCCGGAAGGUUAAUUGAUGGGGUCAGCGCAAGCGAAGCUCCUGAUCGAAGCCCCGGUAAACGGCGGCCGUAACUAUAACGGUCCUAAGGUAGCGAAAUUCCUUGUCGGGUAAGUUCCGACCUGCACGAAUGGCGUAAUGAUGGCCAGGCUGUCUCCACCCGAGACUCAGUGAAAUUGAACUCGCUGUGAAGAUGCAGUGUACCCGCGGCAAGACGGAAAGACCCCGUGAACCUUUACUAUAGCUUGACACUGAACAUUGAGCCUUGAUGUGUAGGAUAGGUGGGAGGCUUUGAAGUGUGGACGCCAGUCUGCAUGGAGCCGACCUUGAAAUACCACCCUUUAAUGUUUGAUGUUCUAACGUGGACCCGUAAUCCGGGUUGCGGACAGUGUCUGGUGGGUAGUUUGACUGGGGCGGUCUCCUCCUAAAGAGUAACGGAGGAGCACGAAGGUUGGCUAAUCCUGGUCGGACAUCAGGAGGUUAGUGCAAUGGCAUAAGCCAGCUUGACUGCGAGCGUGACGGCGCGAGCAGGUGCGAAAGCAGGUCAUAGUGAUCCGGUGGUUCUGAAUGGAAGGGCCAUCGCUCAACGGAUAAAAGGUACUCCGGGGAUAACAGGCUGAUACCGCCCAAGAGUUCAUAUCGACGGCGGUGUUUGGCACCUCGAUGUCGGCUCAUCACAUCCUGGGGCUGAAGUAGGUCCCAAGGGUAUGGCUGUUCGCCAUUUAAAGUGGUACGCGAGCUGGGUUUAGAACGUCGUGAGACAGUUCGGUCCCUAUCUGCCGUGGGCGCUGGAGAACUGAGGGGGGCUGCUCCUAGUACGAGAGGACCGGAGUGGACGCAUCACUGGUGUUCGGGUUGUCAUGCCAAUGGCACUGCCCGGUAGCUAAAUGCGGAAGAGAUAAGUGCUGAAAGCAUCUAAGCACGAAACUUGCCCCGAGAUGAGUUCUCCCUGAGACUUA